rnacentral:rRNA from 1 species
GAUGAACGCUGACAGAAUGCUUAACACAUGCAAGUCUACUUGAACUUCGGUUUGGGCGGCGGACGGGUGAGUAACGCGUAAAGAACUUGCCUCACAGUUAGGGACAACAUUUGGAAACGAAUGCUAAUACCUGAUAUUAUGAUUUUAGGGCAUCCUAGGAUUAUGAAAGCUAUAUGUGCUGUGAGAGAGCUUUGCGUCCCAUUAGCUAGUUGGAGAGGUAACGGCUCACCAAGGCGAUGAUGGGUAGCCGGCCUGAGAGGGUGAACGGCCACAAGGGGAAUGAGACACGGCCCUUACUCCUACGGGAGGCAGCAGUGGGGAAUAUUGGACAAUGGACCAAAAGUCUGAUCCAGCAAUUCUGUGUGCACGAUGACGUUUUUCGGAAUGUAAAGUGCUUUCAGUUGGGAAGAAAAAAAUGACGGUACCAACAGAAGAAGUGACGGCUAAAUACGUG